rnacentral:rRNA from 1 species
GACGAACGCUGGCGGCGUGCUUAACACAUGCAAGUCGAACGGAAAGGCCCUGCUUUUGUUGGGUGCUCGAGUGGCGAACGGGUGAGUAACACGUGAGUAACCUGCCCUUGACUUUGGGAUAACUUCAGGAAACUGGGGCUAAUACCGGAUAGGAGCUCCUGCUGCAUGGUGGGGGUUGGAAAGUUUCGGCGGUUGGGGAUGGACUCGCGGCUUAUCAGCUUGUUGGUGGGGUAGUGGCUUACCACGGCUUUGACGGGUAGCCGGCCUGAGAGGGUGACCGGCCACAUUGGGACUGCGAUACGGCCCAGACUCCUACGGGAGGCAGCAGUGGGGAAUAUUGCACAAUGGGCGGAAGCCUGAUGCAGCAACGCCGCGUGCGGAAUGACGGCCUUCGAGUUGUAAACCGCUUUCGCCUGUGACGAAGCGUGAGUGACGGUAAUGGGUAAAGAAGCACCGGCUAACUACGUG